rnacentral:rRNA from 1 species
UGGGGAAUAUUGGACAAUGGGCGAAAGCCUGAUCCAGCCAUGCCGCGUGUGUGAAGAAGGUCUUCGGAUUGUAAAGCACUUUAAGUUGGGAGGAAGGGCAUUGACCUAAUACGUUGGUGUCUUGACGUUACCGACAGAAUAAGCACCGGCUAACUCUGUGCCAGCAGCCGCGGUAAUACAGAGGGUGCAAGCGUUAAUCGGAAUUACUGGGCGUAAAGCGCGCGUAGGUGGUUUGUUAAGUUGAAUGUGAAAUCACCGGGCUCAACCUGGGAACUGCAUUCAAAUGUGACUGACGAGAGUAUGGUAGAGGGUGGUGGAACUUCCUGUGUAGCGGUGAAGUGCGUAGAUAUAGGAAGGAACACCAGUGGCGAAGGCGACCACCUAGACUGAUACUGACACUGAGGUGCGAAAGCGUGGGGAGCAAACA